ensembl:lncRNA
UUUUAAUUGAAUGAGACACAGUUAAAAGAACUUAGGCAACCAGUCAGCAUCCAGACCUGGAACAAAAUGUUUACAUAGUGGUUUUUGUGUAUGUUUGUUUCUUAUUAGAAACUGGUGGAUUAUUAUAGAUCAGUCUAAUAGUAAUAUUCUAUACUGACCACUAGAGCAUGCGCAUGGCACAAAACUGGUACAGCUCCAGCUUCCCUGCAUGCGAGUACUCACAAGACAGCUGAACAACAGACAAAGAACUGCAUGCAUCCUUUUCAACAUCCGAUCACAUUAUGGGCGGUAAGGAGUUUGAGGCAUAGAUAAACCAUUCAAAAAUGCAGCCCCCUCUCGCUUCCCCUGUGUCGCAGUGAUGGUGGACUAUGGGCAUUUUCACGAAUGCGGCUCUACUCUGGCACUUGGAGCGGCGUGACCGCGCGUCCCACUGACUCACGGAUCUGAGCAGAUGUCUGGUCCAGUACCGACACCGGGCCACCUCCUCUGCAAACACAAAUGGCUGGUCGUGUAGAGGGAACGUGGAGAGAUGUGCACAGAUUGAGUAUCCUGAGAGAUAGAAGGAGAAGAUGCUCAUGCACACAUGCGUCUGGAGCGAUGCGGAGCACUAAACUCUCAUCUUUAGCAAUAUGCCUACUUUUGUUCCAAAGCGCGCAUGCUUACAACGAGUUUCAAUGGAUAUCUGAGCUGGAGGCACCUGCAGCCUCUAGAGCUGCAGACCCUGAUUCUAGCAGAUUGAUUUCACCUGAGCAGAAAAACACUGCUGCACCCAAUAGAUCUUCAGCUACAUCUGUGGACACACAACGAGAACGACCAGACAUUGCAACCACUAUUGUAUCUCAACCUACAGUAUUUAACAGCAAUACUGUUACCACAACCAGCAUCCCCUUUACAACAACAACAAACCAGAUUAGCACUACCCAAUCAUCUGCUGCUAAACGACACUCCAAAACACCCAGGACUUCUAUAAGAACUACAACUACAGAAUCUCCAAAGACAACACCUAGAAUCCUGUUUGACUCCACCUCACAGAGCGCUAAGUUGGACCCUUCAAAAAGCACUUUAGGAACUCCAAGAGCUGCUGCAACUGAGGCCUCAAUGCUAAGAUGUAACAUCACUGACAAGAUGUGGAUAAAAACAGUGUUGUCCGUACAGUUACGGAGGAGUCGUCUAGACAGUAUUUUGAAGCAGAAUCUCCCUCGAGGGUUUACUCAAGCUCUGAAGAAGGCCUUGAAUGACAGCACGGUUCAGGCUAAGGUUUGCACUUCAUGAAUUUAUAACACAGUCAUCGUUUACAUUUUGUUCUGCAUCAAGUAUGCACCAACACAAAUUACAUUUUGCUUUAAGCAAUGUUUGCUGUCUUGAUAUAACUACCACAAGAUAUACCCUCUAAAUCCGUCCCCUUCCGUCAUUUGUCCUUCUCUUAACGUUAGCAAAUGCAUACUUCACCAGGCUGUAAAAUCCAUGUGAUUGCUCUGAUACUGCAAGAAAAAUAGAAAGCCUUUUCACAUGGUUUAAAACAUUAGCUAUAAUAUAAAUAUUUAUUUAUUGCUGUAUAAAUUUUGCACACAAAUUGUAUCAUUAAGAAUAUCUAUCCCUGGUUAAAAGAUUUGUUUUGCACACAUAAUGGUGUAAUUCACCAGCAGGGGCUAAGCAUCCGUGUUAUAAAUCUUGUUUUCAGCAGCUUUAUUGCUUUAUUUGUGUCUAUUGUUUUCCAUCUUAUCUUUCUCAUUUUAAUAUAUGUUUACUUCAGAUGUGUACCUUAGUGAUAACUGUAUGUCAAUGGAAGCUAGGCUAAUCUGCUAAAUACUGAUACCUAACAAAACCAAACACACAAUCAUUGUCAGCCAAAUCAUUGUAAACCUUAUUAUCGGAGUAGAAAACAAAAUAAAAAUAAACUGGGUGAAAAUGGAAACAGAAUACUGCUAUUAGUCACCCCUCAGUUACAUCUUAAGUUUUUCAGUUACUGAGCUUUUUCUGCCUGUUUGUCCCAAGAUAAAAGCUUUGAUGUCAAUGCAGUCCUCAUGCUGGAAGCAAUCCAGGGAGAACUGGAAAGUUCGUGGCUCAUCAAACUGUUGAUUGAAAGAACUACAGGGGUUUGGAUUUUGCCAUAUUUUUGUAAUGUAAGAACAUAACAUUAAAGUAAUUAUUCACAUCCCC